AAAUCAAACAUUGACACAAAAUGCUAAAAAUAACCCAACGGGAUAGGCAGCAUCUCUGGAGAGAAGAAAUGUGUGACGUUUCGGGUCGAGACCCUUCUUCAGACUAUUUUUAUCCUUAUUCAUAACUAUCUUAAAACUUAAGGAGUUGUGAUCGCUGUUCAUUAAUGACUUGUAUGAAAGGGAACUACGAUCAUCUGUGUACUCUAGACUAUGUAUGAAGAAAGCUUCCAGACCAGACUUAUCUUGUCACUUGGAAAAUCAAGCUUGGUUAAAGGCAUAUUUGUCUGUCUAUCAAUAAAUGGUGGUGUCUAUGUACUCUAAGUUUAGGUUUCUGGGGUCCCUGCACUCAGAAGCCUUUAGACCAUCCAUAUUAAUUACUUUGAACUAACAAAGAUGUUUGAACAUU